GACCGGACGGCUAACCUCCGCAGGUUGGCCCGGCAGCGCCCAUCUCGGCCCUGUCUUGAUCUGGCCGGGCCGCGCUGGACGGGAAGGGAUGGUGAUGAUGGAGGAAGCAAAAGACGGCGGCGGGGGCUGCCCUAGGAGGGUCCGUUAUCUUCCCUGAGCCGACUCCUGCCUCACAGAAGGUGCUCAGUAAUCGUCUGAAGAAUGAAUGAAUGGGGUCUGAUACAUCAACCAGCCAACAUACAGGAACGGGCUCCUUGGGGCAGUUUACAUCUUCAUUGUUUGGCCUGGGCACUUCUUGUUUUGAGGAACCCCUGAAGCACUUUGGCCCAGCCAGAAGGUUCCUCAGAAUGGUUUCAAAAUAACAGUCGAAGGCAAAUGGAAGUCACUGAAAGCUUUGGAAGCUUGUAACAGAAACCUGUGUACCUGAAGACAGUGGAAAACAAACAGAUGAGGCAACUUCAUGUAUCAAAUAUGAAGGAAAAGCUGAAUAAAACCCAUACUUCAUGCCAGCCAGCCCUAAGCCCUUACUUAUGAAGAACUGAGAGAAUAAUCCAAACAUUGAACAUUCACAAUGAUAAAAAUAAUGCAGAUCUUCUCUGAAGAAAUAUCAUCCGCAGACUGGAAACAAUUCAGAUAUCUCAACUGGCGAAUGGACAAACAAAAUGUGAUACAUCCAUAGGAUGAAAUGAUACUCCACAAUAAAAACGAGCUGAUAACGUCUGUCAACAUGAAUGAAUCUGAGAAUGAUUAGGCUGCAUGAAAAAAUCCAGGCACAGCACAUGCUGUACAAUCUCAUUUUAUGAAAUUCUAGAAAAGGAAGGGUACCUUUCGCAUGGGAGAUUUAUUCCUUGCUUUCUGGAGACAAAAGGAAGUCAGAAUUUCAUUUAUACAGAAGCAAAGAAGAGAAUUAUCUGUUGAAUUUUAUUGAAGAUGAGCAUUGAUUCUCCUGUAGCUACCACCUCCUGCAAACACACAUGACUUAGAGUGUAUGAGAGGAGAAAUGGACAAUACAACCAUUUGUACUGUCUACUCCCAAUUAAAAGGGGAAAAUGGGCGAGGCGUAUUGAACACACACAAAACACUUUUUUCAACCUGAAAUUUCUGUUCAUUUAUGUGCUUUGCUAUAGAUUGCUUUUCUAACUUUACUUAUGAAAAAAAUC